CGGUGUGAUCAUUCCAACGAUAAAGCACCGGAUCCCAUCAGAACUCUGCAGUUAAGCGCGCUUGGGCUAGAGUAGUACUGGGAUGGAUGACUGCCCGGGAAGUCCUAGUGUUGCACCCU
rnacentral:rRNA from 1 species